rnacentral:rRNA from 1 species
GAUGAACGCUGGCGGCGUGCCUAAUACAUGCAAGUAGAACGCUGAAGGAGGAGCUUGCUCUUCUGGAUGAGUUGCGAACGGGUGAGUAACGCGUAGGUAACCUGCCGGUUACCGGGGGAUAACAUUGGGAACGAAAACUUAUACCGCAUGACCACAGGUUAUUCAUGAUUAACUGUUAAAAAGGGGCAAUUCCCCCCCUACCAAUGGGACUGCGUUGUAUUAGCUAGUUGGUGAGGUAACGGCUCACCAAGGCGACGAUACAUAGCCGACCUGAGAGGGUGAUCGGCCACACUGGGACUGAGACACGGCCCAGACUCCUACGGGAGGCAGCAGUAGGGAAUCUUCGGCAAUGGACGGAAGUCUGACCGAGCAACGCCGCGUGAGUGAAGAAGGUUUUCGGAUCGUAAAGCUCUGUUGUAAGAGAAGAACGAGUGUGAGAGUGGAAAGUUCACACUGUGACGGUAUCUUACCAGAAAGGGACGGCUAACUACGUG